rnacentral:rRNA from 1 species
GUACACGCUGUGACUAGCAUAUCAAUAAGCGGAGGAAAAGAAACUAACAAGGAUUCCCCUAGUAACGGCGAGUGAAGCGGGAAGAGCUCAAAUUUGAAAUCUUAAAGGGUUUCCCUUUACGAAUUGUAGUUUAAAGAAGUGUUUUCUGUUGAGGUUUUGGUAAAAGUUCUUUGGAAUAGGACAUCAUAGAGGGUGAGAAUCCCGUAUUUGACCUUUACUUUCAACUUUGUGAUACACUUUCAAAGAGUCGGAUUGUUUGGGAAUGCAGUCCAAAAUGGGUGGUAAAUUUCAUCUAAAGCUAAAUAUUGGCGAGAGACCGAUAGCGAACAAGUACCGUGAGGGAAAGAUGAAAAGAACUUUGAAAAGAGAGUUAAACAGUACGUGAAAUUGUCAAAAGGGAAGCGUUUGACACCAGUGUUGUUUUUCUGAAAAUCAAUUAAAGAACUGUUUAUGCUAAGUUGUUUAGACUUUAUCAGCUAACUGUUUAGUUUUGAGCUUUUCUUUAAUGCACUUUUCAGUUAACAAGUCAACAUCAAUUUCUUUUGCUGUAAAAAAGCUUGAGGAAGGUGGCUUGAGAUUCGUCUUAAGUGUUUAUAGCCUCUUGCCUAUGCAGUCGGAGAGAUUGAGGUCUGCAGCGUAGAUCCUUCGGAGCUAAAUGCAUUUGUGCUAAGUUAUAGCAUUUUAUAGUACAACUUGUUGACUAUGAUUUGUCUUGUAGCUUACUCGCUUAUGUUAUUUUACCUACGCUUAGGAUGUUGAGUCGUAGAGCACGCAG